rnacentral:lncRNA from 1 species
CACUUGUAUAUAAAUUUAAUACUUUAAGUUUACAUCGUACAUCAUCAUCUUGAUACAAUAAAAUUUCUAAGUAAAGGAAACAGUAUUCCUCUAUGCAUCUUGUUGACAUUGUCAUCUUGAAAACUAAAGUCUGACAUUGCAUCCUGAAUCUGCAUCUUGUUGACAUUGUCAUCUUGAUACAAUAAAAUUUCUAAGUAAAGGAAACAUUAUUCGUCUAUGCAUCUUGUUGACAUUAUCAUCUUGAAAACUAAAGUCUGACAUUGCAUCCUGAAUAUGCAAAAGAUAAGUUUUUGAAAGGUUUAACUCGACAGCCCAGCAAGUCUAACAGUCUAUCAUGUUUCACAUAGCAUGCAAUUCUACAUUUUCAACAUAGUACAUGUUUUCUUAUGAUUUGCAUUUUAUACAAGUUUCAUGCUUUAUACAUGUUUCAUAACGUUCAUGCUACACAUCUCUCAUAUCAUACAGUUCACAUAGAACAAUUAUCAACUGAAUAUUAACAGUUAUUGCGUACAAUGUACAUUGAAACAAGUUCAUAAUAGAUGCACUUAAUAUUUACAAUCCACAAACACAAUAGAACAUAAAAACUUGCCUCGUAAGUUGAUUACAACUUAAAGCUAGCUACAUGCGCUUCGCGUAUCCUACAUAGUUUAGUUCACACACAUAGAUAUAUGUCAAUCAUAAAUUCAAAACGUAAACGUAGAUUCAAUUAGUCUACAUUAACUAUCUCUUAUUUACUAGUUUCAUUUAGAAAUUUACUUAACUUUUCCUCCCAUCCAAUCUCUACUCGACAUAGUCGUUCCAUAUAUGGACCUACUACAUAGCAAACUCAACAUAUAUUCUUACUUAUAGGACACGUGCCUCUAGGUUUGGUUAAAUAAACAAGACUUCUUGGUCAUUCUACCAUGUGGCGCUACGACAAAGUAGUUGGGGAUCUCACUCCCCGAUGAGCGAGCGGCUGCCCAGCUCGCCGGUGAGUUGGCGAGAGUUGCAGGGGGGUAGCGCCCCCUGGAAGCCAAGCGUAACCGUUUAGUUGCACUUGAAUUUCCUUAUCAAACCAUGUUAAUUUAAAUCAAUUCCUUCAUGGCCAGUCUAAACAUCAUAAAAGACACACAUUAAAGUUUAAGGGUCUUCAACACAUAUGCUUGAAUACCCAAAACUUAAGAAAAAUAAUCUUGGAAUGACCGCAGAACGGCACAGUUGUGCCCGAAAUGAGCUUGGGAGCAGCGCAGCUGCGCUCGAGCUCUUCUUCAUUUUGUUUGACAGACCAGCGCAGCUGCGCUGGUUUUGGCUUGAGAAGUGGCGCAGCUGCGCCACUUCGCGAUUGGUUCAAGAUGUACAGAUCAGCGCAGCUGCGCUGGUCUUGACUUAGGAACUGGCGUAGCUGCGCCACUUCACAGCAGAUUCAAACAUUACUCUGCUUCUGCAGAGUUCAACUUUCCUCCAAAUUGGGUUAGUUCUAAAGCUUAUGAAUCCAAAAUUCACAUCCUUGUAUCUCCGCACAACAACAACUAAUCUCCAUAACUCUAAUUCCCAUCAAUUACAAAACCAAAUAUCAAAAUUUACUAAAUUUUGAAAAUUUGAUAAAUAAAAUGGGUUACCUCAUUAUUGAUGAUUUCGAACGAUUCAAAGCUUUCAAUCUCUCCUUAAGGCUUCUAAUUGCUUGCUCAAACUCUCACUUGCUCAAAUGAAUUUGAAAUUUUGAAAUUUUGAAAUUUGAAAAGGAGAAGGAAUGCUUCGGAUGAAGCCGUG